rnacentral:rRNA from 1 species
UACGUAGGGCGCAAGCGUUAUCCGGAAUUAUUGGGCGUAAAGAGCUCGUAGGCGGUUUGUCGCGUCUGCCGUGAAAAGUCCGGGGGCUCAACUCCGGAUCUGCGGUGGGUACGGGGCAGACUAGAGUGAUGUAGGGGGAGACUGGAAUUCCUGGUGUAGCGGUGAAAUGCGCAGAUAUCAGGAGGAACACCGAUGGCGAAGGCAGGUCUCUGGGCAUUAACUGACGCUGAGACGCGAAAGCAUGGGGAGCAAACAGG